rnacentral:rRNA from 1 species
AACGAACGCUGGCGGCAUGCCUAACACAUGCAAGUCGAACGAGACCUUCGGGUCUAGUGGCGCACGCGUGCGUAACGCGUGGGAACCUUCCCUUAGGUUCGGAAUAACUCCCCGAAAUGGGUGCUAAUACCGGAUAAUGUCUUCUGACCAAACAUUUAUCGCCUUUGUAUGGGCCCGCGUUGGAUUAGCUAGUUGGUAUGGUAAAAGCCUACCAAGGCGACGAUCCAUAGCUGGUCUGAGAGGAUGAUCAGCCACACUGGGACUGAGACACGGCCCAGACUACUACGGGAGGCAGCAGUGGGGAAUAUUGGACAAUGGGCGAAAGCAUGAUCCAGCAAUGCCGCGUGAGUGAUGAAGGCCUUAGGGUUGUAAAGCUCUUUUACCCGGGAUGAUAAUGACAGUACCGGGAGAAUAAGCUCCGGCUAACUCCGUG